GGUGCACAUUUGUGGUCCCAGCUACUUGGGAGGCUAAGGUGGGAGGAUCGCUUGAGCCUGGGAGGCGGAGAUUGCAAUGACCUGAGAUCACGCCACUGCACUCCAGCCUGCGCGACAGAGUGAGACCCUGUCUCAAAAAAUAAUUUUUGAUAGAAUUUCAAAUUCAUUCUUGUGUUCCAAACAAUCAGUUCCCUAAUAGCAAUAUUUAGCUAUGACCACCAAAUACUGAUUUUAAUACUCAUUCAGCCAAAAUGCAUAUUUGGUGCAACUCUUGAAACAAUUCUAAAAUGUCACUUAAAAAUGCGUAUUCCUUUUUUUUUCUAGCCACCCAAUUAGGACAGUGUCAAAUACCAUGUCUCCCAGAGAGGACCAUCCCACACACCAGUUGUUCAGGGCUGGUGAACAAGAGAACAGUAAACUAGUCGUUAUAUUCUUGGACAGACUGGCUUGACCUUUCCCUGGCAAGUUAGAGUUGCCCAUUUUCUUCGCAUCUUUAUCCAUGGGAUUCUCUGCGGCCUGAAUUGAAGUUGAGCUCCUCCAGAGAAGAUCAGAGUUUGCCUCUGCUGGUAGACUGGGGCAGUAUCAACCUAGACUCUUUAAAUCCUCACUUGCUCACUUGACAUUUUUCUUUUCUUUUCUUUUCUUUUCUUUUCUUUUUUUUUUUUUGAGAUGGACUCUCGCUCUGUCACCCAAGCUGGAGUGCAGUGGUACGAUCUCAGCUCACUGACUGCAACCUCCACCCCAGAUUCAAGCAAUUCUCCUGUCUCAGCCUCCCGAGUAGCAGGAUUUACAGGUGUCUGCCACCAUGCCCGGCUAAUUUUUGUACUUUUAGUAGAGGUGGGGUUUCACCAUGUUGGCCAAGCUGUUCUCGAGCUCCUGACCUCAAGUAAUCUGCCUACCUUGGCCUCCCAAAGUGCUGGGAUUACAGGUGUAAGCCACCAUGCCCAGACCCACUUGACAUUUUUCAGAUCAUACAAGUCUCAUGAAAUUAGGCCACAAACCUGCAGAUCCUGGUUGUGAAUUCUCAGGAGAAAGUUGUUUUGCCAAGAGUAAUGGAGAUCCCACUGGUAAUAACUGUAAUAUUUUCAUUGUGCAUGUGUUUGUUUUGAUGAAUAAACAUUGGAGUCAUAUAUAUCUUUCA